GAUGAAGAACGCAGCGAAAUGCGAUAAGUAAUGUGAAUUGCAGAAUUCAGUGAAUCAUCGAAUCUUUGAACGCACAUUGCGCCCCUUGGUAUUCCGGGGGGCAUGCCUGUUCGAGCGUCAUUAUAACCCCUCAAGCUCAGCUUGGUGUUGGGGCCUGCCAACUGGCAGCCCUUAAAAUCAGUGGCGGCGCCAUCUGGCUCUAAGCGUAGUAAUUUCUCUCGCUAUAGGGUCCCGGUGGAUGCUGGCCAGCAACCCCCAAUUUUCUAUGGUUGACCUCGGAUCAGGUAGGGAUACCCGCUGAACUUAAGCAUAUCAAUAAGCGGAGG
rnacentral:misc_RNA from 1 species